rnacentral:rRNA from 1 species
UACGUAGGGUGCGAGCGUUGUCCGGAAUCAUUGGGCGUAAAGAGCUCGUAGGCGGCUUAGUAAGUCGGGUGUGAAAACCCCAGGCUCAACCUGGGGACGCCACCCGAUACUGCUAUAGCUAGAGUCCAGUAGGGGAGUGUGGAAUUCCCAGUGUAGCGGUGAAAUGCGCAGAUAUUGGGAGGAACACCAGCGGCGAAGGCGGCACUCUGGGCUGGUACUGACGCUGAGGAGCGAAAGCGUGGGUAGCGAACAGG